CUCCAUGAUUCAGCGGCGGACGGGUGAGUAAUGCAUAGGAAUCUGCCCGGUAGUGGGGGAUAACCUGGGGAAACCCAGGCUAAUACCGCAUACGUCCUACGGGAGAAAGGGGGCUCCGGCUCCCGCUAUUGGAUGAGCCUAUGUCGGAUUAGCUAGUUGGUGAGGUAAUGGCUCACCAAGGCAACGAUCCGUAGCUGGUCUGAGAGGAUGAUCAGCCACAUCGGGACUGAGACACGGCCCGAACUCCUACGGGAGGCAGCAGUGGGGAAUAUUGGACAAUGGGGGCAACCCUGAUCCAGCCAUGCCGCGUGUGUGAAGAAGGCCCUCGGGUUGUAAAGCACUUUCAGCGAGGAAGAACGCCUAGCGGUUAAUACCCGCUAGGAAAGACAUCACUCGCAGAAGAAGCACCGGCUAACUCCGUGCCAGCAGCCGCGGUAAUACGGAGGGUGCAAGCGUUAAUCGGAAUUACUGGGCGUAAAGCGCGCGUAGGUGGCUUGAUAAGCCGGUUGUGAAAGCCCCGGGCUCAACCUGGGAACGGCAUCCGGAACUGUCAAGCUAGAGUGCAGGAGAGGAAGGUAGAAUUCCCGGUGUAGCGGUGAA
rnacentral:rRNA from 1 species